UACACAUGCAGUCGAGCGGCAGCACGGGUACUUGUACCUGGUGGCGAGCGGCGGACGGGUGAGUAAUGCCUAGGAAUCUGCCUAGUAGUGGGGGAUAACGUCCGGAAACGGGCGCUAAUACCGCAUACGUCCUACGGGAGAAAGUGGGGGAUCUUCGGACCUCACGCUAUUAGAUGAGCCUAGGUCGGAUUAGCUAGUUGGUGAGGUAAUGGCUCACCAAGGCUACGAUCCGUAACUGGUCUGAGAGGAUGAUCAGUCACACUGGAACUGAGACACGGUCCAGACUCCUACGGGAGGCAGCGGUGUGGAAUAUUGGACAAUGGGCGAAAGCCUGAUCCAGCCAUGCCGUGUGUGUGAAGAAGGUCUUCGGAUUGUAAAGCACUUUAAGGUGGGAGGAAGGGCAGUUACCUAAUACGGUGAUUGUUUUGACCUUACCGACAGAAUAAGCACCGGCUUAAUCUGUGCCGGCCGCUCGGAAAUACAGAGGGUGCAAGCGUUAAUCGAAAUUACUGGGCGUAAGGCGCGCGUAGGGUGGUUGGUUAAGUUGGAUGUGACAGCCCCGGGCUCAACCUGGGAACUGCAU
rnacentral:rRNA from 1 species